rnacentral:lncRNA from 1 species
UCCUCUCCCUUUGUUAACUUUUUAUAUUUUGUGACCGUGUCCCUGGUAGUAGUAGGAAACUCCUUCCUUUUCUUAUAUGUGAUUUAUUCCCUUUUGUUUCACCUUCUCUCCCUUUUCAUCUUCUCUCUUUGUCUCUAAGCCUCCUUCAUUUUAUAACUACUAUCUCAAAUAAUGAAAACAUCGAGAAAGAUGAAUAGUGUGUUUCCAUGUUGUGUUAUGUUAAGAACAUGAGGAGUCCAUUUUUAAUGGGUAGUUUGGUUUGAGAUUGUCACAUUGUCUUAACUUUGCAUUUAAAACUGUAACUUGUGUUAAUUAUGCACUCUUCUCCUUUCAUGUUACAUUUUCUUUCUUUUAAUCCUCUCUUGAACUCUUUUUUUUAUGUUAGCCGCUACAAACUUUCUCUUAUGAUGGGUCUUUGUAAUAACUAUGUGUCUUGUAACUUAAACCAUA